rnacentral:rRNA from 1 species
UGCCAGACUCCUACGGGAGGCAGCAGUGAGGAAUAUUGGUCAAUGGGCGGGAGCCUGAACCAGCCAAGUCGCGUGAGGGAAGAAGGUACUGAGUAUUGUAAACCUCUUUUGCCAGGGGACAAAGGCGGCCACGGGUGGCCGUAAGAGGGUACCUGGAGAAAAAGCAUCGGCUAACUCCGUGCCAGCAGCCGCGGUAAUACGGAGGAUGCGAGCGUUAUCCGGAUUUAUUGGGUUUAAAGGGUGCGCAGGCGGCGUGUCAAGUCAGCGGUAAAAUGUCGGGGCUCAACCCCGGCCGGCCGUCGGAACUGCCGGGCUAGAGUGGGCGAGAAGUGCGCGGAAUGCGUGGUGUAGCGGUGAAAUGCAUAGAUAUCACGCAGAACUCCGAUUGCGAAGGCAGCGCACCGGCGCCCUACUGACGCUCAGGCACGAAAGCGUGGGUAUCGAACAGGAUUAGAUACCCGUGUAA